CGGGCAGGGUUUUUAGGAUUUGAACUAAUCCGGGGCAGAUGAUUCAGGAUUUACUAAAGAGUUAGAGAAUUGUUCACAUCAAUGGAAUGGGACCUGACCCUGGUGGGUGUCUUUUAUAUUCCUCUGCUUGACAUGUGGCAGCCCUACACUCUGCAGCCACUUUAUUAGUGUGAUUUGUGAGAGAUGGAGCACGACAGAAUGAGCUGGCAGCUCCAACCGAAGAAGGGCAGCGGAGACACAGACAACACCUAGUCAGAAAAGGUGCAUUUGAAGAAAAUUAUAUAUCUGAGGGCUGAAAGGCCGCCGGAGUGCAGAUGAGCUGCUUUUAAGUGCGAGUGCAUGCACAUCUAAGAAAGAUCAAAAGACUUGUGAGACACUUCUUCUUCUUCUCCUCUCUAUGCAAUGACCUUGCUGUAUCUAGCAGUACAAGCCUCCUGUAUGGUGU